ACCGGGGCCACUGGCAUGGCAAGGCAGGCACCUCACCACUCCUUGAGUUUUUGCUCCAAUCCUGCAUUUUAUCUAUUUUUUAAUUUUGUUUUUUUUAGUCAUAUCUAGAGCAAAGAAAUGAAUCCAGAGGUCACAUGUGCUACUAUAGCUCUAUCUCUAACAUAAAAAUCAUAGAGGCAUAACUGCUAUGUCCACAUCAGAGGUCCUUAGUUUAAAUAUCAAGGUCAUACAGUACAGGAAAAGCAGCAGAGAGCAGGUCUGAACUGGAAGCUGCAAACAGCUUUUAGGAUUAAGACUGUCAAGGAUGCUGCUGAUGGGAUGGCAAGUGAAACAGGGUCAAAACUAGAACACAUCAAAAAUGCAGCAAAUGCUAUGAUCCAUCACAGCAUAAACAGAACAAAGACACCGUUCACCUUGGCAGUAGCGACUGCAGAAGCCAUGAGAUCAAAGCCUAUCUUUGCAUUUCCUAGCAGACGUCUAUCUCGACCCAUCUUUCUGAACUUCAACCCCCAUCUGGGCAGGACUGUGCACUAGUGAUAAAAGCACAAAUGCCCAGAAUGAAAGCAGACGUGAAACAGCAUGUUUGUGUUAAGAGCCUUCUUGUUUAAAUAUUUAAAUUGAAACGCAUAGGACCA